GAAAUGCGAUAAGUAGUGUGAAUUGCAGAAUUCAGUGAAUCAUCGAAUCUUUGAACGCACAUUGCGCCCCUUGGUAUUCCAUGGGGCAUGCCUGUUCGAGCGUCAUCUACACCCUCAAGCUCUGCUUGGUGUUGGACGUCUUUGUCCCGCCUCCGCGCGCGGACUCGCCCCAAAUUCAUUGGCAGCGGUCCUUGCCUCCUCUCGCGCAGCACAUUGCGCUUCUCGAGGUGUUGCGGCCCGCGUCCAGAAAGCAAUCGUUACCGUCUUUGACCUCGGAUCAGGUAGGGAUACCCGCUGAACUUAAGC
rnacentral:misc_RNA from 1 species